rnacentral:rRNA from 1 species
UACAGAGGUCCCAAGCGUUGUUCGGAUUCAUUGGGCGUAAAGGGUGCGUAGGCGGUGGGGUAAGUUGGAUGUGAAAUCUUGGGGCUUAACCUCAAAAUUGCAUUCAAUACUGCUCUGCUCGAGUUCUGUAGAGGAGAUUGGAAUUUACGGUGUAGCAGUGAAAUGCGUAGAUAUCGUAAGGAACGCCAGUGGCGAAAGCGAAUCUCUGGGAUGAUGCUGACGCUGAGGCGCGAAAGCCAGGGGAGCAAACGGG